AAGGUGUGGAUGGAAAAGAUCGUGUUGUUUUGACAUUUGAUGGGAAGUAUUUGCCAUAUACUGAGCAGAAGUCAGAGCACAUGGCUUCAAGAGUCAAGACUGAGGCGAAUGGAAGUUAAUGAAUCCUGAUGUUGAUGAAUAUGCAAACAAUCCCUUCUCUUCUUUAAUGUGUGUAUGAACUUACUGUAGUAAGUCUUAUCUUAAUUUGUUAAACGAUAUGUAGGUAUCAUCUUGUUGUACUUGGAUUGGGCUACAA
rnacentral:misc_RNA from 1 species